rnacentral:rRNA from 1 species
GUUUGAUCCUGGCUCAGGAUGAACGCUAGCGGCAGGCCUAAUACAUGCAAGUCGAACGGUGUCUUCGGACAUAGUGGCGCACGGGUGCGUAACACGUAUGCAACCUACCUUACAUUGGGGGAUAGCCUUUCGAAAGGGAGAUUAAUACCGCAUAAGACAGUAGCUGGGCAUCCAGCAGCUGUUAAAGAUUUAUCGAUGUAAGAUGGGCAUGCGACCAAUUAGUUAGUUGGCGAGGUAACGGCUCACCAAGACUAUGAUUGGUAGGGGAACUGAGAGGUCAAUCCCCCACACUGGCACUGAGAUACGGGCCAGACUCCUACGGGAGGCAGCAGUAGGGAAUAUUGGGCAAUGGACGCAAGUCUGACCCAGCCAUGCCGCGUGCAGGAUGAAGGCGUUAUGCGUCGUAAACUGCUUUUAUACAGGAAGAAACGACUCUUGCGAGAGGCAUUGACGGUACUGUAUGAAUAAGCACCGGCUAACUCCGUGCCAGCAGCCGCGGUAAUACGGAGGGUGCAAGCGUUGUCCGGAUUUAUUGGGUUUAAAGGGUGCGCAGGUGGUUUAUUAAGUCAGUGGUGAAGGACGGUCGCUCAACGAUUGCAGUGCCAUUGAAACUAGUAGACUUGAGUAAAGUAGAGGUGGGCGGAAUUGAUAGUGUAGCGGUGAAAUGCAUAGAUAUUAUCAAGAACUCCAAUUGCGUAGGCAGCUCACUUGGCUUUUACUGACACUCAUGCACGAAGUGUGGGUAUCAACAGGAUUAGAUACCCUGGUAGUCACACUGUAAACGAUGAUACUAGUGUCGGCCGAAUCUGGUCGGUGCCACAGCGAAAGCGUUAAGUUAUCCACCUGGGGAGUACGCCGCACGGUGAAACUCAAGGAAUUGACGGGGUCCGCACAGCGUGGAGCAUGUUGUUUA